rnacentral:rRNA from 1 species
AUGUGGUAUGCUCCUAUAAUACCACGGUUGAAACGUCUGUUCAGAAACGAAGAGCAUGCCAAGUUGAUGCGAUGGCACAGUGAGGACCGUAAGAAAGACGGGAAGUUGAGAGCACCCGCUGACGGGUCGCAGUGGAGAAAAAUUGAGAGAAAGUACUGGGCGGAGUUUGCAGCUGACCCAAGGAACGGAUGGUUUGGUUUAAGCGCGGAUGGCAUUAAUCCUUUCGGGGAGCAGAGCAGCAAUCACAGCACCUGGCCCGUGACUCUAUGUAUGUAUAACCUUCCUCCUUGGAUGUGCAUGAAGCGGAAGUUCAUUAUGAUGCCAGUUCUCAUCCAAGGCCCUAAGCAACCCGGCAACGACAUUGAUGUGUACCUAAGGCCAUUAGUUGAAGAACUUUUACAGCUGUGGAAUGGAAACGGUGUACGUACAUAG